rnacentral:pre_miRNA from 1 species
UCCAACUUUAAACGUCCGGCUUAUUUAAAUAAAUAUUUAUAAUUAAUACUUUUAUUGUUAUUAGAUGGUAAUACAUGAAUAAUACUUCAUUCAUGACUAUUUCUUUUUAAUUUAUUCAUAGAAUUUUUGAAUAAGACGAAUGAUCAAAGUUGGACAUGGAAA